GGGGCUGUAGCUCAACGGAGGAGCAGGGGAAUCAUAACCCAAGGUUGGAGGUUCAACUCCUCCCAGUCUCC
rnacentral:tRNA from 1 species